UCUUAUGGAUGAACAAAGAAAGUGGUUUCUUAAGAUGGAAACUGUCCUGGUGAAGAUGUUGGGAA
rnacentral:pre_miRNA from 1 species